UUUCCCACAGUCUGCGUGUUGAUCUUUGACUGACCCGACUUGCUUUAUCUGGUGCCCGCUGGGCAAAAGGACGACUCAGAAUGAUGAAGGUGCUCCCGGGACGCUCCGAGAGCAACCCGCAAAUAGGAAUCCGAGGCCAGGUGACCUUUCCUAGGGUCGUGGGGACGGCCAGGACGAUGGGAUCUGAGGACAAGGCCCAGCAGGGCAGGCACCAGCACUAUUCUUGGACUAUGCUAUUGAACACCAUGACAGAACUGUCCGGGGGGAAAAACAGCUUUUCCCUUUCUCCCGGGAGUAAUAUGAAUUCGGGUCAUAUCUCCGUAAUUAGAAUAAAGAGGAUUUCAAUUUC